rnacentral:rRNA from 1 species
GACGAAGGGGGCUAGCGUUGUUCGGAAUUACUGGGCGUAAAGCGCGUGUAGGCGGUUGCCAAAGUCGGGUGUGAAAGCCUUGAGCUCAACUCAAGAAAUGCACUCGAUACUUGGUGACUAGAGGACCGGAGAGGAUAGUGGAAUUCCCAGUGUAGUGGUGAAAUACGUAGAGAUUGGGAAGAACACCAGUGGCGAAGGCGGCUAUCUGGACAGUUCCUGACACUGAGACACGAAGGCCAGGGGAGCAAACGGG